rnacentral:rRNA from 3 species
CUUCGGGAGGGCGCUUACCACUUUGUGAUUCAUGACUGGGGUGAAGUCGUAACAAGGUAACCGUAGGGGAACCUGCGGUUGGAUCACCUCCUUA